rnacentral:sRNA from 1 species
CACAGUUCCAUGGAAUAACUAAGAAUUCAUGUCCUGUGGAAAGGAAGUACAUUUGAAGAACGCAAGUAGAGGGAGUGCAGGAAACAAGAACUACAGGAUGUAGGAAGACCCUCCUGAGGAGUGAAGAGUGACAUGCCACCGCAGGAUCCUUUGCUCUGCACGAGUUACCUGUUAAACUUUGGAACACCUACCAAAAAAUAAGUUUGAUAACAUUUAAAAGAUGGGCGUUUCCCCCAAUGAAAUACAUAAGUAAACAUUCCAACAUUGUCUUUAGGAGUGAUUUGCACCUUGCAAAAAUGGUCCUGGAGUUGGUAGAUUGCUGUUGAUCCUUUAUCAAUAAUGUUCUAUAGAAAAGAAAAAAAA